UUGGGAAUAUUGCACAAUGGGGGAAACCCUGAUGCAGCGACGCCGCGUGAGCGAUGAAGUAUUUCGGUAUGUAAAGCUCUAUCAGCAGGGAAGAUAAUGACGGUACCUGACUAAGAAGCUCCGGCUAAAUACGUGCCAGCAGCCGCGGUAAUACGUAUGGAGCAAGCGUUAUCCGGAUUUACUGGGUUUAAAGGGAGCGUAGGCGGUCAUGCAAGUCUGAUGUGACAACCCGGGGCUCAACCCCGGGACUGCAUUGGAAACUGUAGGACUAGAGUGUCGGAGGGGUAAGUGGAAUUCCUAGUGUAGCGGUGAAAAGCGUAGAUAUUAGGGGGAGCACCAGUGGCGAAGGCGGCUUACUGGACGACCACUGACGCUGAGGCUCGAAAGCGUGGGGAGCAAACAGG
rnacentral:rRNA from 1 species